AUUGCUUCGAGUGGCAAGAGAGCUAUUGAUUUGUUAUGCUUAUUUAGUUUCUUUUAAAAACUCUUAGAGUUGCUCCAUUUGUCAUUCUUUUGAUUGAGUCAAUAUUAGUCCUUCGAAUUGUAGUCAAGUGACUAGUUUAGAACUUUUUUUCCGAAAUUUGGAGAUGAAUUGGUUUUAUUGCGCGACAAUUUAAUCAUUGAUGGAUAUUAAAUGGUGGUUUAUAGUUGCUAUUA
rnacentral:lncRNA from 1 species